AGUGAACGCUGGCGGCGUGCCUAAUACAUGCAAGUCGAGCGGAUCGGCGGACGGGUGAGUAAUGGCUAGGAAUCUGCCUGUGAGUGGGGGAUAACGUCCGGAAACGUGCGCUAAUACCGCAUACUAUCAGAUUAACCUAGGUCGGAGUAGCUAGUGGGUGGGGUAAAGGCCUACCAAGGCGACGCUCCGUAACUGGUCUUAGAGGAUGCUCAGUCACACUGGAACUGAGACACGGUCCAGACUCCUACGGGAGGCAGCAGUGGGGAAUAUUGGACAAUGGGCGAAAGCCUGAUGCAGCCAUGCCGCGUGUGGGAAGAAGGUCUUCGGAUUGUAAAGCACUUUAAGUUGGGAGGCGUUACCAACAGAAUAAGCACCGGCUAACUUCGUGCCAGCCGCCGCGGUAAUAC
rnacentral:rRNA from 1 species